GGGUCUGCAGUUCACCCAGGCAUCGCCGUUCUCCGGAACACGCUAAACCUGACA
rfam:Rhizobium etli CFN 42, complete genome.